AGCGAACGCUGGCGGCAGGCCUAACACAUGCAAGUCGAACGGACCUUUCGGGGUUAGUGGCGGACGGGUGAGUAACACGUGGGAACGUGCCUUUAGGUUCGGAAUAGCUCCUGGAAACGGGUGGUAAUGCCGAAUGUGCCCUUAGGGGGAAAGAUUUAUCGCCUUUAGAGCGGCCCGCGUCUGAUUAGCUAGUUGGUGAGGUAAUGGCUCACCAAGGCUACGAUCAGUAGCUGGUCUGAGAGGAUGACCAGCCACAUUGGGACUGAGACACGGCCCAAACUCCUACGGGAGGCAGCAGUGGGGAAUCUUGCGCAAUGGGCGAAAGCCUGACGCAGCCAUGCCGCGUGGAUGAUGAAGGUCUUAGGAUUGUAAAAUCCUUUCGCCGGUGAAGAUAAUGACUGUAGCCGGAGAAGAAGCCCCGGCUAACUUCAUGCCAGCCGCCGCUGUAA
rnacentral:rRNA from 1 species